AAACGAUUGCUGGCAUCAAUUUUUACAUAUCAGGAACCAUGGAUAAUGUUUCUGAUAGGAUCCGAAAACUGCUGGAUGAUCCGGGGAAAUUUUUGAAAAUAUUAGACAGUUAUUUCGAGCCAUGAUUUCAGGCACGAAUUCCUCCUUGAAUUUCAAAUCGCAGUGAAUCAGUGACAUUGAUCGUGAACAGUAAAACUGUCGGCAUCAUCGUGAAAAUUGUGGCUUAUUUCUGCACUUCAUCCACCAGGUUAUAAAAGUCCAUCUGUCCUUAAAUUUUUCUCCUCCUUCACGCAAAUAUUGUAAUGGACGUUAACGAUAUCAUUUAGUCUAAGUGGCAGGUUCAAAUCUGCGCCAAGACUCCAUUGAAGAAGCUCUAACUGGAGUGCCGGAAGACAGUAGUUUGGUUGCUUUCAUAGUCAACCUCUUCUCCUGUGCAUCUAAAUAUUCACAUGGAAGCUCUGUGAUCUUUAGCAAGAUUAAUGACAACUACAUCUCCUUCACCAACAGCAAAGGUACUGAAAAACUCGCUCAAACCAAAUACUUUCUUGCAGCUUUUGUAGUACGAGAAUUUAAACUCCCUCUACCCACAAACAGCAGUGAUGAUUCUAAAUAGCUGUGAACCGAAGUGUUUGCAGGCCAUCACUGAUGGAACCUGUUAUAUGGUUGUGUCAGAGAUGCCCAUUCUGUUAUCAUACAUUUAAUAAAAACCUAUGUAGAACAGAUUAAAUUUGAUGUUACUACAACUACUAUCAUAGAAAAGUAGAAACAGGUAAAGAUUGAACGAUUAAAGUAUUUAUUUAUAACUUUAAUACUCUUAUAUCCCUAAAAUUAAGCAGGCGAGGGAAAAGAAUGAAUACAUGGCAUUAUCAUAUAUUUACCGGUCUUUUAUUUUGACAUGUUUGAUCCAAGUUGUCAAAACACCCCAAACCAUACUAAUGCUGUGUCAACAGGCAAAGACUUAUCAAUUCCGACAUGAUUACUAUUUGGCGGAAUGAAGUGUGCUUAAUAUGUUUACUCUAUGCCUUAUUACUUAUCACAGAUUUUGGCGACUUUUUUGUUACAGUGCAUAUUAAAUGAUCAAUGAACUCAUAGGAUAUUUUGACAGGAAAACCCAUGUCAUAUGCAAGG